AAUCGGUGCAGAGAACCAGAUCAACAUCUCAUCAUCUUCUCCAUCAGUAAAACAAUCCCUCCAAUCGAUUUCCUCCGUCUCAACCAUAACUUUCCAAUUGAAACUCGAAAAAGCUUCACACCCACUCGCAAACCUCUUCAUAUCACCCAUCGGCGGCGCUUUUCUCCCUCCACCAACAGAUCUAGUCUCAUCGAAUGGCUCAAAAUGAUUCAUUAAUUGUCGAUCUGUUCUCAAAAUGCUCAAACAUGGAAGGGUUGGUGUUCCUAUGGAGGUUAUGGGUUUGAUGUUGGGAGAGUUUGUGGAUGAGUAUACUGUUCGUGUUGUUGAUGUGUUUUCUAUGUCGCAGAGUGGGACUGGUGUUAGUGUUGAAGUUGUUGAUCAUGUUUUUCAAACUAAUAUGCUUGAUAUGUUGAAACAAACUGGAAGUUGGCAGUAUUGGCUGGAGAUUUUUUUCUUUCCCGGGCUUGUGUCACUUUGGCCUCUUUAAAGAACACAGAGGUUGUUUCUUUGUUGGCAAAAGUUUAGAACAUAUUGUAACAGGGGAGACUAUGCAAAUGACUACAACAUCUGAUCAACGGUGUAGCAUGGAAUUCUGCAAUCAUGUGUACAUUUGAAGUGCACAUUUGAACGUGGAAUUCUGCAUGUGUACUUCAAUUCAAACGCCACCGUUACCGCAGAUAGUUCAUAUCAGCCAAUGGUUCAUUUUCUGUUGAGUUUCUUAUGGUUUGAAGGAACCUUCAUGUGCAAGCGGCGUAUGCGAGUUUCCUUUGGGACGCAGAGGAAUAAGGAUGCAGGUUUUUAUGAGGAUGCAGGAAGAUGAGAAUGCAGGUUCUGAUGAGGAUGCAGGUUCUGAUGAGGAUGCAGGAAGAUGAGGAUGCAGUUUCACCUUUGUUGUGUUGGUUGUUGAUUUUGUACCAACUGAUUCAGUUUUGCACGGGCUAACUAGUGACUCAUUAUGGGAUGGAUUGGAUUGAUAUCGGAAGAAGUAUUAGCGAGUAAGCAUACAAGCAAUAAAGUGAAAAUUGGUGAUUUUGGAGUAGCUGCAAUUCUCCAAGGCUCUCAAUCAACUCAUAGUGUUAUAGGUAACUACUUUUCGCCAAUAAUUUUCAUCGUUAGUAUAUUAGUUGUUAUGUUAGUAUUUUUUCGUUUGUAAGACUUUGAAUUCUGAGCCUUCAACUCGUUAGGUACACCCGAGUCCAUGUUGGUUUUGAUGAUGACUUUUAUGCUUUUGGACCAUUCCGAAUCUGCGUGGAUUUAUGUGGUGCAUCAUUGGUUUUGAAAUUGUACUUGGCUCACUGAAGCAUGAAUUUUAGAUGCUCCUGUUACUUUUGAACUGAGCAUAUUAUGCAACUGUUUUGAUUGGAAAGAUUAUGUAACGAUGUUCUUAUGAUUGCAAGUUAUAAACCCACUUUGGCCAUGAAAAGAUCUUUGAAAAGAAUUAAUUUAGGGAAGGUUGUACCUACUAGUUGUUUCUGAAGGAUAGAAAAACACUUAGAAAGGAG